rnacentral:rRNA from 1 species
AGGGUGUAAACGCUGCAGACUUGGUGUUGGAAGCCCUUUGGGGGCAUUCAGUGCCGGAGAGAAGUUGUUAAGUCUGCUACUUGGGGAGUACGUCCGCAAGGAUGAAACUUAAAGGAAUUGGCGGGGGAGGCACCGCAACGGGAGGAGCGUGCGGUUUAAUUGGAUUCAACACCGUAAACUCACCAGGGAAGACUGUUACAUGAAGGCCGAGAUGAAGACUCUGCUAGAUUUUCAGAGAGGUGGUGCAUGGCGUCAGUGACU